rnacentral:rRNA from 1 species
CCUUGACAUACUAAGAACUUUCCAGAGAUGGAUUGGUGCCUUCGGGAACUUAGAUACAGGUGCUGCAUGGCUGUCGUCAGCUCGUGUCGUGAGAUGUUGGGUUAAGUCCCGCAACGAGCGCAACCCUUUUCCUUAUUUGCCAGCGGGUCAUGCCGGGAACUUUAAGGAUACUGCCAGUGACAAACUGGAGGAAGGCGGGGACGACGUCAAGUCAUCAUGGCCCUUACGGCCAGGGCUACACACGUGCUACAAUGGUCGGUACAAAGGGUUGCUACCUCGCGAGAGGAUGCUAAUCUCAAAAAGCCGAUCGUAGUCCGGAUCGCAGUCUGCAACUCGACUGCGUGAAGUCGGAAUCGCUAGUAAUCGCGGAUCAGAAUGCCGCGGUGAAUACGUUCCCGGGCCUUGUACACACCGCCCGUCACACCAUGGGAAUUUGUUGCACCAGAAGUAGGUAGUCUAACCGCAAGGAGGACGCUUACCACGGUGUGGCCGAUGACUGGGGUGAAGUCGUAACAAGGUAGGCGUAGAUGA